UACGUAGGCAGCGAGCGUUGUUCGGAGUUACUGGGCGUAAAGAGUGCGUAGGCGGUUUUCUAAGUUUGGUGUGAAAUCUCCCGGCUUAACUGGGAGGGUGCGCCGAAAACUGGAAGGCUUGAGUAUGGGAGAGGUAAGCGGAAUUCCUGGUGUAGCGGGUGAAAUGCGUAGAUAUCAGGAGGAACACCUGCGGUGUAGACGGCUUACUGGACCAUAACUGACGCUGAGGCACGAAAGCGUGGGUAGCAAACAGG
rnacentral:rRNA from 1 species